UACAGAGGGUGCGAGCGUUAAUCGGAAUUACUGGGCGUAAAGCGUGCGUAGACGGCUAUCUAAGUCGGGGUGUGAAAUCCCCGGGCUCAACCUGGGAACUGCAUCCAAAACUGGCAAGCUAGAGUAUGGUAGAGGGUGGUGGAAUUUCCUGUGUAGCGGUGAAAUGCGUAGAUAUAGGAAGGAACACCAGUGGCGAAGGCGACCACCUGGACUGAUACUGACACUGAGGUGCGAAAGCGUGGGGAGCAACAGG
rnacentral:rRNA from 1 species